GUCUACAGUCAUACCACCCUGAACGCGCCCGAUCUCGUCUGAUCUCGGAAGCUAAGCAGGGUCGGGCCUGGUUAUACUUGGAUGGGAGAC
rnacentral:rRNA from 1 species